UUUAUCUAAUUGUGUCGAAAAUAAUGGUAAUUAAAAACUGAUCCACGAGUAUUAUUUUAAUGUGAUGUGAUACGUAUUGGAUUAUUUUGUUUUGGCUCUUUUCCCUCCAGGAUUCGCGCUGGAUUGACGGAAAUGCAGCAUGGACGUGCCGGAAUGUGGCAACAAGGCUGUUUACGUUUUCCGGGAGUUGGAUGGAUGAUGGAUCGAGCUGCGACAGAAACGUAGGAUCGACCUGUCGGGUUAUGGCAACAAGGGUUGUUUACGUCUUACGGAAGUUAAAUGGAUGAUUGACCGAGCUGCGACAGAAACGUAGGAUCGACCUGCCGGGUUGUGGCAACAAGGGCUGUACGUUUGCCGGAAGUUGGAUGGACGAUGGAUCGAGCUGCGACAGAAACUUAGGAUCGAUUUGCCGGGUUGUGGAAACAAGGGCUGUUUACGUUUCCCGGAUGCUUAACGGAUGAUGGGAUGAUCGAGCUGCGACAGCACCGUGGGAUCAACCUGUCGGAUUGUGACAACAAAGUUUGAAGGGAGGUUCAUCGCAUGGGAUAAAGCGGAAAUGAUGGACCAAUUCGACAACGGGAACAUCAUUAGGAAAUGAUGAAUCUGGAGGACUCUUCAUGAUCCAGCAGGAGGGGACUGUCGCACGUCGUGGACUUCAAGAUAUCGGUCGCGAGUGUUUCGGGAGUGUCUGGAGCUUCCAGAUUCGAACUUCGAAGUCUCCGAUACCCGGAAUCCCGGAAGUUUCAGGAUCCUGGGUUUUGGAAACUUCGAAAUUCUAAUCUCGUGGUCUCCAAAACAUCGACUCCUUCGGGAUUCUUUGUUUUGGAAGCCAGGAGAUUGGUAUUUCGGAGUUUCUAAAACUCAGUAUCCUGGAAAUUCCGAAUACCGCGUGGAGGGGACUUCUAAGUUUGAAUCUUGAGCUCCAACGUUCGGGCCUUGUCCCGGACGCUCUUCGAAUUACAAAAAACGUUCGCACUAAACCUGGUAGGCGUGAAAAAUUUAUUUUUGUCAUUUUUUAAAUAAAACAAUGUAGUAAAGUU